GUGUGAGGCAAGCACAAUUAACCCCACUUACACAAGGGGAAAUUGAGGUCCAGAGAAGUUAUAUAACUUGCCCAAGGUCACAGUCUAAUUCAGCCUUGCCUGACUGUGAAAGCCCUAUUCUUAACCGACAUGACAGACGGUUCAGGUCUUUGAAGAUGAAGUGAGGGAACCCCUCAGCAUCCUCUGUCUCCUGGAGGCCUAUCUUAAACUAAUGUCCAGCAAGAGCAUGGGGAGGGGUGCUGAAAUUCAAAUAGGAUUGUUAGAGGCAAACGUGUCUAUGUCCUGCUAGACUGAGGUCAGCCACCAGAGGGCAGCACAGUCACAAAUUUAUGGGAAUUUGCAGAAGGGAGCCUAUGUAUGAGGUCCUCACCCUCUUCCCCCAUCAAGACAAUUCUUAUUAACUUAGGCUCCUGCCUCGCAGUUUUAGCAUGAUCUCAAAAUAUGUCUCCUGGGAGUUCAUACCUGCUCUACACUCCAAUCUUCAACUUCUUAAUAAUUCUGUAACUCAGAAACUUCUUCCCAGAACCCAUAAAUGAAGGACUAUAGGGAGGGCAAGACCUGAUGAGGCAACGAGCUACCCAAUAUUUCCAAGGAUGACAGCUGUGGCAUAGCAAGGCACUGAGACUUCUCCAAGAAUGAAAUCCCAUACUCGCCUUCUUGGGGGAUGGGUGGGAAUGGCAACAGCCAUACUCCAGGGGCCAAAUAUGAGAUUUACACUAUGAUUAGGAGGAAAUGAGGAGGGGAAGUGGGCUGUAUUGGGCUGGUAUCAUGGGUGUGUCUGUAGUUAGUGCCUGUACCUUUGAGUCUGAGAAUGACAAGGUCUCUCUCAAGGAGGCACAAUACAAGGUAGGAAUUCCCUGGGCUCAGAAGUGCUGCAGAUGUAACCCAGCACCAAUCUCUCUGUCGCUGAACUGUAAUUCUCAGGCUCUGGUAAGUUUCGCCUUCUGAAUCUCCUAGCUCCUCCAAAGCAUGUCUGCCUCUCAUCUUGAGACUUGAGUGAUGCAGAGAGACAAGAGAGUAGGGGAAGGCCCAAGUCCUAGCCCUGUCUGUGUCAGUGGAAACGGAAAGGAGGCCUGGGACGGGAACAGAGCAGCUGGGGGCGCGUAAGGGGGAGGGGGCUUAGGAGAGGCAGCUGGCAAGCGGGAAGCUGAUCUGGGGGUCUCAAGUUUCUUGACAUCAAUUAGAGCAGCCGGCCUGGGCUCAUUAGUAGCCCGGGGUGCAGGGCUCAUCAAUAAUGAAUUCACCCCUCACACUGCCCCCCUCCAGCUGCCUGCAAGGUCACCCCGCCCUCCAGCCAGCUGCCUCCCCUUGGCGAGCUAAGCAACCCCCCUUCUGAGACCCCUCUAACUCAGGGUCCUGGGGGGUACAGAGUGAGAGGGUGGACAAAGCUGAGGGCAAAGGGGUCUCUAUCACUAAUCAACUAUGUCUGAUGCUGACUCUAGUCUGCUCGGGAGUCUGCCCAGGAGGAGAAAGAAUAGCAAGAGGCAAGGAGGGAGUAUAUGUGUGUUGGGGGUGGAUAUAACAAGAACUGGGAAGAGCAAGCUUGGUGAUACGAGGCUGGAACAGCAUGGUGCCUUGGCUGCAGUGUCACCGUAAAUCCAGGAGGCGGCAAGUAGAAGAGAACGCGGGAGAGGGCGAGGAGCCGCCGAGACGCC
ensembl:lncRNA